rnacentral:rRNA from 1 species
GACGAACCGUGCGAACGUUGUUCGGAUUCACUGGGCUUAAAGGGCGCGUAGGCGGGCGGUCAAGUCGGGGGUGAAAUCUUUCAGCUUAACUGGAAAAGUGCCUCCGAUACUGAUCGUCUUGAGGGAGGUAGGGGCAUGUGGAACUUCCGGUGGAGCGGUGAAAUGCGUAGAUAUCGGAAGGAACGCCGGUGGCGAAAGCGACGUGCUGGACCUCUUCUGACGCUGAGGCGCGAAAGCUAGGGGAGCAAACGGG